rnacentral:rRNA from 1 species
UACGGGGGGAGCAAGCGUUGUUCGGAUUUACUGGGCGUAAAGGGCGCGUAGGCGGUCGUGACAAGUCACUUGUGAAAUCUCCGGGCUUAACUCGGAACGGUCAAGUGAUACUGUCGGACUAGAGUACAGAAGGGGCAACUGGAAUUCUCGGUGUAGCGGUGAAAUGCGUAGAUAUCGAGAGGAACACCUACGGCGAAGGCGGGUUGCUGGGCUGAUACUGACGCUGAGGCGCGAAAGCCAGGGGAGCGAACGGG